GAUGUACUCCCUCCGUCCGGAAAUACUUGUCGAAGGAAUGGAUGUAUCUAGACGUAUUUUAAUUCUAGAUACAUCCAUUUUUAUGCAUUUCUCCGACAAGUAUUUCCGGACGGAGGGAGUAUUAU
rnacentral:pre_miRNA from 1 species